ACAGAGGGGGCAAGCGUUAUUCGGAAUUAUUGGGCGUAAAGGGCGCGUAGGCGGUGAUUUAAGUGAGAUGUGCAAUCCCCGGGCUUAACCUGGGAACUGCAUCUCAGACUGGGUCGCUAGAGUGCUGGAGAGGGUGGUGGAAUUCCACGUGUAGCGGUGAAAUGCGUAGAGAUGUGGAGGAACACCAGUGGCGAAGGCGGCCACCUGGACAGUAACUGACGCUGAGGCGCGAAAGUGUGGGGAGCAAACAG
rnacentral:rRNA from 1 species